ACUCCUCCAUAAUACACCAAAAUUUCUCUUCCACACCAUCACAUACAAAGUAGAUUAAAGACAACACUACACAUGCAUACACAGUGAGACCAAGAACGAGAGAGGGUGAAAGAUAAAGAAAACUGAGUGGAGAGAUCGAGAGGGAAGGGAGAAAACAAAGAAGAGAUUGAGAGUGAUAAAAUCAUGAGAAUAGAGGAAAAAUAAAGAAAAAAAAUGAGAGAGAGAGAGAGAUUGACUGUGAGAUAGGGUAUUUUUAAUAAAUUUUUCAUCGGAAUCACCAUCGAAAAAUACCCUCCAUCGCUGUAUUGUCACGGUUACAGAAAAUUUAUGGUCGGGAAAUACCACUAGCUCCGUUUAUGACCCACGUGCCAUCAAUUUCUAUUUUCGAUCAAAUUGCUCAUCAAAAUCUCACCAGAUCGGAAUUGGUUACCCCCCACUAGAAA
rnacentral:lncRNA from 1 species